CGAGGACGUCUCCCUCGGCUCCGGCAGCGGCUCCAGUAUCUCCGUCAACCUCCCGCCGUGCAGGUCCGGACGUGGGCGGCGGAAUUGGUUUUCUGGGACAGAACCUCGUGUUCGCUGAGCUGGUCUUCCCACGUAGACAAUCUACGUGCUGUGAGUUACCCGUUGCCUCUAUUUAUUUAUUGAAUAAUUUUGUGCAAUCUGCUAGUAUUAUUUACUUGGGCGUGAUUGCACAAUUUGUGGGCGGAUUAUGUGCUCGAUGAUGAUAGCGGUGUAGUGAGACGACGUGACAGUCUGGGUUUUAGUGUGUUGUUAUUUUCAGCAUUGAUAUUAUUUGUGCCUAGUUAUUUCUUACUAUUGUGCAAGCUGAUUAUUUAAGUUCAUUAUUGUUCCUUAAUUCUUAUGCACACUGUUUUGAUCUUAAUAUUCAUGCUUGAUUUCAAGGCUCAUAAUAUUUGAUCUAAAACCCUGAUUUGGUAAGAUAGGACUGUCACGUUAGUCGAGGAUCUUUGAUCACCCUUUAGCGUUGGAGGGCUGUCUAAGUUGGAGAUCUAGUUUCGAAGACAGUCUUUCCCACUGAAGAGCAGGGAUAAUGAUCAUCAAGCUGGGAAUGGCCUUAUAGAGUGACACAUGUAAUCUUCGGUAAUGCAUACAUACUACAUACUUUUGAGGGUGAUGAGUUACCUAAGGCAUU
rnacentral:lncRNA from 7 species